CAUGUAAUAUAUAUAAUUAUACUUUCAAAUUUUAAUGCUGAGAGACCAAAAGUAAAUAUUAAUGUGUGUGUUAUAUAACAUUGCAAUGGGUGUAUUAUUAAACUAUUUACACUCACACAUAUAUAUUACAUUGUUAUUGUUAAUAUUAUUAUACUUUUUAGUUUAUGUUGAGCGAUUUACAGUUUCCAAAAGUAAAUGUUAUAUUGUGUGUGUAGUACAGUAGAGUCUCAGUUAUCCAAGACUCGCUUAUCCAACGUUCUGGAUUAUCCAACACAUUUUUGUAGUCAAUGUUUUCAAUACAUCGUGAUAUUUUGGUGCUAAAUUCGUAAAUACAGUAAUUACAACAUAACAUUACUGCGUAUUGAACUACUUUUUCUGUCAAAUUUGUUGUAUAACAUGUUUUGAUGCUUAAUUUGUAAAAUCAUAACCUAAUUUGAUGUUUAAUAGGCUUUUCCUUAAUCCCUCCUUAUUAUCCAACAUAUUCGCUUAUCCAACGUUCUGCCGGCCCGUUUAUGUUGGAUAAGUGAGACUCUACUGUACAUAACAUUGUGAUGGGUAUUUCAUUACACUAUUUGAAUUUUAUCAUUAUUUAUUUACCCUAUUUAUACCCCACCUUUCUCUACCCAGAAGGGGACUCAAGGCGGCUUUCAUAUGGCAACUAUUCAAUGCCCCAAACACAUACAAAAACAUAAGCUUAAAACAUUCAGAAAUAUUGCAUUCAACACUAAAAUAAUAAAUAAUACAAUAUUAUAAUAUUUAGUACAUGUAUUACAAUAUGGUAUGAUUCAGAAUCUAAAUACUUUUCAGUCCGUGGCUGCUGCUCCUCACUCGCAAUUUAUACCAUUAUUCGUGUAUUUUUAAUACUAAAUAGUAUAUAUAAACAUUAUUGACACCCUAUUUGACGUUAUAAUAUAUAGCAUCCAUUUAGGAUACUAUUCAGUAUAAUAAUUUAGGAAUAAUGGCGAUAUGAGCAGCCAGCGAGGAGCUUCAAGCGCGCGUGAUUCGGCGGCAUUCGCCAUCUUGGUUCUCGGCCUCUUCGCUGACGUCGCGGCCUCCAUGAUGUGGAGCUUUUUGGCGGGAAGCGGCUGCCGAGAGCCGCGAAAUGGCGGACGCCGCCGCGGAGGAAAAUCUCGCGAGAGCGGCAAAAGGCGGGGGUGGAAAAAGGGGCGGGAACCAGACGAGCGAGGGGGCGGGGCCAACGCUAGUGUCGUCACUCAGAAAGCUGGCGGGAGGGAAGGAAGGAAAACCCGGAAUCCGGAACCAUGGAAUGGAGCUUCUGGAAGAAAGGGAUUCUGGAUUUGUGUUGCCAAAGGCUUUCAUGGCUAGAAUCACUGGGUUGCUGUGAGUUUUCCGGGCUGUCUGGCCAUGUUCCAGAAGCAUUCUCUCCUGACGUUUCGCCCACAUCUAUGACAGGCAUCCUCAGCGAUUGUGGGGUCUGUUGGAAACUAGGCAAGUGAGGUUUAUAUAUUUGUGGGAUAAUGUCUAGGGUGGGAGAAAGAAAGAACUCAUGUCUGUUUGAGGCAGGCUCAAUGCUAUGAAAUUAUGGGAUUUGUAGUUUGGCGAGGCAGAGGAGGCUAAAGAUGUGUAUAUUUAUAAGUGUAUUUUAAUGAACGUCUAAUGUAUUUAAUUUUAAU
rnacentral:lncRNA from 11 species